CUUUAAUAAAUCCAUACAGUAUGCUUAACAGUAACUAAUAACUAGAAACAAAAUUGCAUGCUAUUUCUAGAUUUGGUUCUCUAUACUAUUCAUUUUGUCUCUGUACACUUGUACCCCCUCAAUAAUAACUAUAUCAAAUAUUUACACAGUAAAAGAUAUGUUUUGGAGGUGAUGCCCUAAUGAUAUACAGAGUCACAAAUCCUGAUGAUUUUCCUUUCCACAUACUGCACUAGGUUCUUGUAUAUGCUUUUAUAUUUAUGCACAAUAAAUGUGGGUGAAGUUAUUAAAAAAAAAAAAAAAAAGUCAGAAUUGCAAAACGCAUUUGACAUAAGAAAAAAAAAAGGGAGCAAACAAGUCCACUACAUAAUUUUAGAACAAUGCAAAGCAGUGUUACAUCUAUAAAGCUGUAGCCUAAACGUGAACAACAUGUUGAUCAUGUGUCCUCUACUCAAAAGACAGAAGAGAGAGAGCAAGAUACCUGGCUUUGAGUAUAGUUAUGGUGCCAGAAACGUGUCUGUAUGUUCACUUUAAGUCAACCCAAGUGUGUUUGCACCUAAAUCAAAUUUAAAGUCAUACAGUGGCUAGCUUGUUAUACUCAACCAGCAGGGAAUGCCUGACACUUGCAUAGGCCGUAAAGUGAAAUUUGUUAGUACCAGGUACAGGCAGUAAAUGUCAGAAUUAUAAUAGUGCGAUUGAAAAGCAGAUUCCUAAUUUUGUCCCUUGCACAACAAUCAGUCCCUGCUGUAACUGCUUUAGAACAUAUUGACAUGAUUCAGAAUAAACUGCUAAUUGAGAAGUAAUUAGAAAAGUUUCUCCCAUAACAUAUUAUAAAAAAACGUCACCCAGGCUAAACCAUCUCAAUGAAGUGAUAUGGGUGCAGUAUUCCUGUCCUUUUAACCCUGCAAUGUAAAACAUUUUUACAUUGCUGGGUUAAAUCCAUAUUUAUACAGACUGCCACUACAGGUACUUCAGGACCACUGACCAUUUAUAACUCUUGACACAGAAGCCCCAC